AUACACACCUCGGGCAGGAAAAAGUAAAGCCUCAGACCACAUGUUUGUCAGGGCCUCGGCUUCGCCUCGGCCGACAAUUACAUGUGAUCUGAGACUUUCCUUAUUUUCCUGCCCUAGGUGUGUAAUAUACUAUUUUUAAUCCUAUUCGUUUACGUGCGGAAGGUAUAAAAAUCGGCUGUAGGUUCUGCGACCAGUGUCAAUUAUUAUGUGAAAAUAUUAGCAAUGCUUGCCUUGAAGAGCCUGUUAUAGAAAACAAAAGGGAUAAAACCGAACUUUUGUUGUUGCGAGGCUUCGAAAAACUUACGAAGAUUGAAGAAUCGUUUGAAAAAUUUGUCAUUUUAAAUGGGUCGUAAAUAUAAAAAAAAAAAAGCUCGCCAGAUAUAUCGGUUAAUACGGAGAAUAAAAAUUUGGCAUAUCAAAGUAUGUAGACGAUUCGUACACAUUAGCGUUCAAUAAAGCAGGCGUAGACGAAAGUUUGUGGCUUAGGAACUUGCAAUUUGCUAUGCCAAUAAAGAGUUCCGAAUGGAAAGUGGAAAAAAAAUAAAGUUACAGGUUAAAUAAUGCAAUUAUUAGGUUAGAGACCGUCCAUGCGAGGGCGUAAAAAAUCGUAACUCUCUCAUUAAACAUUGUUGUCGUUCGAUCUAAACGGAAUUUCCACAUAAACUGUGUAAUCGAAAAGUUCUACAUUUCAUCUGAUUACCGAUCAUUGUUUUCAUUGUUAGAUUUCCGAGGGUCGCGUGCAUAAAGAUAAAUUGGAGAUGAAAUUUGAACACUAAAUAAAAAAAGAAAAGAGAAGAGCACGAGGAAAUAAAAAAAAUGUAAAAAGAAACAAUUCGAAAUUGCUCUUUUGACGAAAAAAAUCGUAAGGAUUGAAUCCUUUUGAGGACACGAUGUUAAUAUUAUUUUAAUUGCUAGUUAACGUACACGUAUAAGACAAUAAUGUCGUUUGAAGGUUAUGUACGAGAGUAUACGACGACGCGAGAGGAAUAAAAAGAAAGAGGACAAUAAUACAUUUUAUCUUCGACAAUAACGAGAGGCCUCUAUGAAAUACGGAGUAAAAAUAAAAUCAAUGUAGAAGGCGAUCAGCGUCGACGAGCGCGAGUGUGUUAAAAAGAAAAGUUUGUGGAUUCUUCUAUUUUGUAUGAUAUAAUAUGUGCAAAAAAAAUGAAACCUGUGUGUAUUGUUUUAUCGAUUUCCAACACGAGCAGGUUCCCAAUCGAAUCCAAUUAACCGCAGUGCGAUCAAAAAUAUAAAUCUAACUGAUAUCACGUUUGUUACGUAUAUUGAGAAUGAAGCAACACCGCGAUAGGAAUGAAAGAAAAAUAUUAAAAGAGAAAAGAUUAUCAAAAAAUACGAGAUUAUUUUUUUCUCAGGAAAAAUCAAACAAAAACACAACGGUGCUAACGCAGAUAUAGUAAAUGACGUUUAUUCAAUUUGCAGGACAGAGAAAAAGAGAAAAGAUCAAAUGAUAAAUGAAAGAUAAUAAACUCUUGUCAACGAAACCUUAGAUAACACUUAUGACAAUAAAUAUAAAAAUAUUCUGUUUUGCUUAUGGCAGUCGAUAGUAAUUCCUCAAGCUAUUUGAUCGAUCGGCGAGACAACUUGUAUAUAGAUGUAAGUUUUAUGCGCACAGAUUAUACUAAUACAUGAAUUAAUAAGUGUUUGCCUCCAUUCAUAUGUUGAAUUGAGUGGUUUUAAUCGUGCAAUAUCGAUUAAUUGGCCUUUGAUGGUAUAUCCUGUGAGUUGUUAAUUUAUGAAGAGUGAACAAAAGAUGAAAAAAAAAAACAUUUCGAAAAAGUUGAAUAUCUGACAUAGCAAUCCCAAAAAUGCAGCGUCUCAAUGGAAUAUUCAUUUUACAGUAGAUUUUAAUAUUUAUUCUUCUUCACAAAUAAUAAGUAAGCAAUUGAGAUCUAUCAAUAAUGACCGAUAAUCAAUUUACAUAUGGAUUUAUUUGAAUGAGGUGAAAGAAAAAAAAGAUUCUUACGUCAUAUCAAAGCAAACAACCAAAAGUGCAAAAAAUAACAUUUCACUGAUUGUUGCAUAUCAUAGCACUGAUAUCAUGAUUGUUGCAUAUCGGGUGUGCAGCCCCAUAUCCAAUUCGUUUCUUCUAAUCAAUCUUCUGUUUUAUAUAUAUAGUUAUUCGUAUCUCGACUGCGUCCAUCCACUCUAACUGUUAAGACAAUAAAUAGAUACGAUAGACUUGUUCUAGCAGCUGGAUAUUCAAGGUCGUGGUUGUUAACAAGAUAAACCAUUUUGAAUGGCUCAAAAAAAAAGAAAAAUGAUUGAGAAAAUAGAUAUGAAACAGUUGCUGGACGAGGAGAAACGAUUAAUGAGACACCUUAUACAGAUCAUUCUCGUACAUCGUACUAUAUAAAUAAUUAUACAUAUUAAAAAAUGUACUAUAAAUAUUGAAAACAAAUAUAUACAAUUAUACCACGUUAAGCGGAUAAACUGUACAUAUAUAUUGUUGUCAGUUGAAUGUUGAAAUAAAUACAGUGCGUAAAAAACUUCUA
rnacentral:lncRNA from 1 species